rnacentral:rRNA from 1 species
CACGUAGGGGGCAAGCGUUGUCCGGAUUUAUUGGGCGUAAAGAGCUCGUAGGCGGUUCGGUAAGUCGGGUGUGAAACCUCCAGGCUCAACCUGGAGAGGCCACCUGAUACUGCUGUGACUUGAGUCCGGUAGGGGAGCGUGGAAUUCCUGGUGUAGCGGUGAAAUGCGCAGAUAUCAGGAGGAACACCAGCGGCGAAGGCGGCGCUCUGGGCCGGAACUGACGCUGAGGAGCGAAAGCGUGGGUAGCAAACAGG